UUCCCCGUGCCCGCUGGCUUGGGAGUGGAGGCCGGAGGGGGUUGGCAGAAAGGCGGAGGGUACCCUGCUGUUCCUUCCCCAGCCCCGGGACGGGAGGGGCCCCCGGUGGAGCCCCCUGCGCUCCAGCCUCUGCCCCCUCUUCGGCCAGGAGACCUGUCCAGCCACUGCUGUUCUCCCGCCCCACUGCCAAGCUUCUGAGCCGUUUCCCGUUUUAUUUUUUCCGGUUUUCUAGGGAUUUCCCCCCCCCCGUGUUUUCAGCCCCUCAUGCUCCGCCCACAUGCCUAAAACAGAAAACUGUGGAAAUGCUAGUUUCCCGACCACAGAUCAGUUUGAAGGGCUUGGCCACCAUGAGAAUCUGAUCCCACUGUGGCCUGGGUUUCCCCUUAUCUUUCUUCACUUUACAUCUCCCUCUUUCACUCCCCAUCUCAAUUACUGAUGGUAAUUCCUUCUCUUCAGUGUUCAGAAACCUGGUGCUUCUUGAAUGCUCUGAUUGCUUAGCAUUUGGGGAAUUCUCUGUAUCCUAACAGAAUGGGUACAAAAUAUAACCCUGCCAGAUUGACAGCAUCUUGCCCUGAUGUAAAUGGCUGCACAAGGUCCGGGGUAAUUCUGGCAGAUGAAGAAGCUCCUCGGCCUUACAGUUCUGUUUUAAAAUGCUGUUGACAGAUCAAUCAUCCCUUGGAAGAUUAUUGGCAAAUCUGAAAAGUGAUGUAACUGUGGAGCUACUGCUGCACAACAGCUGUGCAAUGAGCAAAGUAUAAGUGAUUGGUUAAUUUUACACCUAUAUAAACUUUUUCAUAAAGUGUUUGAAUGGGAGGUUUUUAUCUCAGAGGUAUUUUGUAAUGGAGCAAGUCAUUGACAAAGCUAUUUCCCCUCUCUAGAAACCUCACUGGGAAGGAAGCUGUGAAUGUCUUUAUGUCUUUAUUUUGAAUGUUCCAGUGCCCAGUUGUGAGAGAUUCUGACCAAUUUCAAUUGGGAAUAUAAAUGCUAACUUUUUAGCACUUUCCCCCUAUAUGUCUUAAAAUACAUACUUACUGAGGGAAAAAAACAGGUUGGUAAGAGUUACUUUCUUGCAUUCAUAGUGGCACAUAGUAAGUCAGAACAGAAAUUAAUAUCUAGAACAGUGGAGAAUCCCUGAGCAGAUGUUACCUCCUCUAUGGGGGAAAAAACUCCACACCGAAAAUUGAACGAAAACCACUCCAAACCUAGCUUUCCAUAUGCCCCAUUCUUUUCAGAUCUCUUGAAAUUCGAUUUGUCUCAUGUAGGAUAAAAGCCAUGAUCUAACAUUGCUAAGAGUGAAGUUAACUUACUCUUAAUAAAGAAAUGUUAAUCAGCCAUUAUAUAUUUUAUCAUACCUUCAUAUUGAAAGGCAAGGUAAAGAAUGUGCCUAAAAUCACUCAGUCUUUUUUAUUUUCAAGUAUGAUGAUAUAGUGGCAUCUUACAAAAGCAGAAAUUUAUUAGCCAUAGAGCAAAUAUGACUUGGAUGUCAUGAACCUGCACCUGAUUUAUCUCAUCAUUGCACAACCCCAAACAGGGACAUCUUGCUUCAUUUCUUAGUCCAGCUAUAUGGGUGACUGUUCUAGUUGUACUAGUUAGAAGGUACAUCAUGUUACUAUGUCUCAGUCAUGAAAGCAGAUGCUUACCGAGCAGUUGUUUUCAGUAUUCAUUCAGACCAGGACCAAAGAGGAACUUCAGUGUCCCAUGGAUCUUAUUGUCAGAUUGCCUCCAUGCCACAGAGUGCAGAGGCCAGGAAACCCCUAGCACAAGAUUUGUACUACAGUUGUGUGAGGGCUUGGGAACUUCCAAUAUGAGCCACCGCAUUGGCAUCCUGCACAAAGAAUCCCUUUCCAGAAGCAAGCAAGAUUUCACAAAGCACCUUUGACUGCUUACUUAUUCCUUGAAAACACAUCUUAGACAUUAAAGAUGGAUAAUUAAUGGAGUAAGUAGAAGACCACAUUGAGUCAUAAGAAGAAAAAAUAUGGAGGUGGGAAGUGCAGACUGCUCUGAUCAGCACUGCAGAAGCAACAGAGGCCACCCUAAUCAGUCAGAGCAGGGCGACCCACCUAAACCAGAAAUGCAUAGCUGCUUUGCCAUUGAAAACUGGUGUUACAUCACUGGUUAAGCAAAUGAGAGGAAAACAGUGAGUAACUUCCUUCAGUCAGUCUGGUAUUAAAUCCAGCUACACUAAAAUUAAAGGCUCUGCAGUUCCACUGCUAAUUCUUAAAUUUCCCAAUUUGGUGAGAGGUUUUCAAUGAGAUUUGUUUGGUUGUUUCCCCCUCACUUUCUUGUUUGCCACUUCUCUAAAACAUGAUUUUCUUUUGUAGGAAAAGUUAAUGUGCUGUUGCCUAAAAAGAGCUUAGAGACUUUCAUUCAUUUUGUAGUGAAUGUGCUCAGGUCCUGCUGGUGUUGGUUGCUGCUCUAGGAUUUAUCUAGUUACCACUAACAGUGGGUGGCAAAUAAAAAGGAAAAGCAAUCAAUUAAGCAGUCAUUCUUUGAACCUUAUUUAUUAGCCAUAAAACAAAAUAGUCCAUGAGCAAAUGUUAAUUAGUUUGAAUUAUUUGUUUAUUUCUGUGUUUCCUCUGUAUUCUCCUCAGAUUAAUGACUUUAGUAUUUAGGAAAUAAUGUUCUCUUCUCUAGUUGACAGUAAAUAGUUCAAUAUAUACACAGGAAAAAGGCUGUGCAAAGUACUUCAGCUUCCAUUGUGACUAAGGAACAAAGUUGUCUUGAUUAGCAUUUAUAAACAUUAUUGCAUUAGGAAAGAAAAAAUGAUCUGUCAGUGUCAAUACACCUUUGGUAUAUAUAUAUAUAUAUAAAGAAAUAAUGUAAAUGAAGGUACAAUAGGGAUAGAGUGUCAGAAUAAUCAUAUUACUUGGUGUCAAGGCUGUCUCAUCCUUUCAUGGUGUCCAGCUCCAGAGGUGUAAAAGAUGUGUAAAUUGCACAGUGGAAGAUCUGAGAUGAUCUGUCUCCUAUGGAAGUGUGUCCUUGCAACACUAGCUGUCUAAACUCUGCGUGUUCUCAUCACCGUGUGACCAUCCCCUCUCUACACCUCUCCUAAGGAUACCCUGUGAUACAGUGUUCACCAUCUAAAAGAUAGAUGAAGUCUGGACACUCUUAGUGACAGACGAUACGUGCUUUCAUUACUUCAUCUUUUCGAAUCCUAGACUAGUCCCUUUUUCUAUUGUGAAAUGGGAAGAAGAGCUGACCUACCUUCUAGAAUUUGGCCAUUUAUAUACAUUUUAAUAAUAUUUGCUGUUAUUUUGGCUUAUAAAAUAAACAGU